rnacentral:rRNA from 1 species
CCCGGGUCUUGUACACACCGCCCGUCACACCACGAGAGUUUGUAACACCCGAAGUCGGUGGGGUAACCGCAAGGAGCCAGCCGCCUAAGGUGGGACAGAUGAGUUGGGGUG